rnacentral:rRNA from 1 species
UGCCCGAAGGGUGACGAAGCGACGCCGCGUGGGUGAGGAAGGCCUUCGGGUUGUAAAGCCCUGUCAGGAGUUAAGAAAUGUAGACUCGCUAAUAUCGGGUCUAUUUGACAAAGGCUCCAAAGGAAGCCACGGCUAACUCUGUACCAGCAGCCGCGGUAAUACAGAGGUGGCAAGCGUUGUUCGGAAUUAUUGGGCGUAAAGAGCACGUAGGUGGAUUUGUAAGUCAGACGUGAAAGCCUUCUGUUCAACGGAAGAAUUGCAUCUGAAACUACAAACCUUGAGUGUAGGAGGGGAGAAUGGAACUUCUGGUGGAGCGGUGAAAUGCGUAGAUAUCAGAAGGAACGCCGGCGGCGAAAGCGAUUCUCUGGCCUAUUACUGACACUCAGUGUGCGAAAGCUAGGGGAGCAAACGGGAUUAGAUACCCCGGUAGUCCUAGCCGUAAACGAUGGGCACUAAGUAGAGGGG